rnacentral:rRNA from 1 species
CCUACGGGUGGCAGCAGUGAGGAAUAUUGGUCAAUGGGCGCGAGCCUGAACCAGCCAAGUAGCGUGAAGGAUGACUGCCCUACGUGUUGUAAACUUCUUUUAUAAAGGAAUAAAGUGAGGCACGUGUGCCUUUUUGUGUGUACUUUAUGAAUAAGGAUCGGCUAACUCCGUGCCAGCAGCCGCGGUAAUACGGAGGAUCCGAGCGUUAUCCGGAUUUAUUGGGUUUAAAGGGAGCGUAGAUGGGUUGUUAAGUCAGUUGUGAAAGUUUGCGGCUCAACCGUAAAAUUGCAAUUGAUACUGGCAGGCUGGAGUACAGUAGAGGUAGGCGGAAUUCGUGGUGUAGCGGUGAAAUGCUUAGAUAGCACGAAGAACCCCGAUUGCGAAGGCAGCUUACUAAACUGACACUGACAUUGAUGCUCGAAAGUGUGGGUAUCAAACAGGAUUAGAUACCCGAGUAGUC